CUUUUAAGGAGGAGCAGACCACCUGCUCUACAAAGAUGGGGACAUGACUGUCAUUUGUUUGGUGAGCAGAUGUGCCAGCUACCCAGAGGGGACAGUCAUGGUACUUGGUGAGAUUCUGCCAGGACUUGAAUUAAGAAAUGAUGCCUGCUUUGCCAUUCACAAAAUUCUUGAAGGUAGGAACCCUGGGCAAAAGAUACCCUGUUCCUGUCUCAAGAUUCUCUCAGAGGGAAAAUUAAUUGAAAUACAAAAUGGAAAAGCUAAAGAAAACAAGUGA
rnacentral:lncRNA from 1 species